rnacentral:rRNA from 1 species
AUACGUAGGUGGCGAGCGUUGUCCGGAAUUAUUGGGCGUAAAGAGCAUGUAGGCGGCUUAAUAAGUCGAGCGUGAAAAUGCGGGGCUCAACCCCGUAUGGCGCUGGAAACUGUUAGGCUUGAGUGCAGGAGAGGCAAGGGGAAUUCCCAGUGUAGCGGGGAAAUGCGUAGAUAUUGGGAGGAACACCAGUGGCGAAGGCGCCUUUCUGGACUGUGUCUGACGCUGAGAUGCGAAAGCCAGGGUAGCGAACGGGAUUAGAUACCCCGGUAGUCCUGGCCGUAAACGAUGGGUACUAGGUGUAGGAGGUAUCGACCCCUUCUGUGCCGGAGUUAACGCAAUAAGUACCCCGCCUGGGGAGUACGGCCGCAAGGUUGAAACUCAAAUGAAUUGACGGGG